AGCUUUGCGCAGUGGCAGUAUCGUAGCCAAUGAGGUUUAUCCGAGGCGCGAUUAUUGCUAAUUGAAAAAAAUAAAAGGAGGAAGAAUAGUCCAACCAGUUAAUCCCAAGGCUGCUGUCCCAUCUGUGCACCCCACUCUAGUCA